rnacentral:pre_miRNA from 1 species
AACACAAAUCUGGAGAACCAAUCAUCUGUUUGAGCUGAAAAUUUAAUCGAUAGCUAGCUGGUGGUGACCAAUUGGUUAAAGUUUCAGCUCAAACGGAUGUUUCGUUCUCCAGAUUUGUGC